GAAAGCGGCGGACGGGUGAGUAACGCGUAGGCAACCUGCCCUUUGCAGAGGGAUAGCCACUGGAAACGGUGAUUAAUACCUCAUAAAGCUAAGAUGUCACAUGACAAAGUAGCCAAAGAUUUAUCGGCAAAGGAUGGGCCUGCGUCUGAUUAGUUAGUUGGUGAGGUAACGGCUCACCAAGGCGACGAUCAGUAGCCGACCUGAGAGGGUAAUCGGCCACAUUGGAACUGAGACACGGUCCAAACUCCUACGGGAGGCAGCAGUGGGGAAUAUUGCACAAUGGGGGAAACCCUGAUGCAGCAACGCCGUGUGAACGAAGAAGGCCUUAGGGUCGUAAAGUUCUGUCCUAAGGGAAGAAGAAAGUGACGGUACCUUAGGAGGAAGCCCCGGCUAACUACGUGCCAGCAGCCGCGGUAAUACGUAGGGGGCAAGCGUUAUCCGGAAUUAUUGGGCGUAAAGAGUACGUAGGUGGCUAUGUAAGCGCAGGGUGAAAGGCAGUGGCUUAACCAUUGUUAGCCUUGCGAACUGCAAAGCUUGAGUGCAGGAGAGGAAAGCGGAAUUCCUAGUGUAGCGGUGAAAUGCGUAGAUAUUAGGAGGAACACCAGUGGCGAAGGCGGCUUUCUGGACUGUAACUGACACUGAGGUACGAAAGCGUGGGUAGCAAACAGGAUUAGAUACCCUGGUAGUCCACGCCGU
rnacentral:rRNA from 1 species